UACAACUUUCAACAACGGAUCUCUUGGCUCUCGCAUCGAUGAAGAACGCAGCGAAAUGCGAUAAGUAAUGUGAAUUGCAGAAUUCAGUGAAUCAUCGAAUCUUUGAACGCACCUUGCGCCCCUUGGUAUUCCGAGGGGCAUGCCCGUUUGAGUGUCAUG
rnacentral:rRNA from 1 species